rnacentral:tRNA from 2 species
GGUGAAAUAGCCAAAUGGUAAGGCAACAGACUACAAAUUUGCAAUUGUCAGUUCGAUUCUGACUUUCACCU